UACAGAGGAUGCAAGCGUUAUCCGGAAUGAUUGGGCGUAAAGCGUCUGUAGGUGGCUUUUUAAGUCCGCCGUCAAAUCCCAGGGCUCAACUCUGGAACAGGCGGGUGGAAACUUACCCAAGCUUGAGUACGGUAGGGGGCAGGAGGGAAAUUUCCGGUGGAGCGGUGAAAUGCGUAGAGAUCGGAAAGAACACCAACGGCGAAAAGCACUCUGCUGGGCCGACACUGACACUGAGAGACGGAAAGCUAGGGGAGCAAAUGGG
rnacentral:rRNA from 1 species